rnacentral:rRNA from 1 species
GAUGAACGCUGGCGGCGUGCCUAAUACAUGCAAGUCGAGCGAACGGACGAGAAGCUUGCUUCUCUGAUGUUAGCGGCGGACGGGUGAGUAACACGUGGAUAACCUACCUAUAAGACUGGGAUAACUUCGGGAAACCUUAGCUAAUACCGGAUAAUAUUUUGAACCGCAUGGUUCAAAAGUGAAAGACGGUCUUGCUGUCACUUAUAGAUGGAUCCGCGCUGCAUUAGCUAGUUGGUAAGGUAACGGCUUACCAAGGCAACGAUGCAUAGCCGACCUGAGAGGAUGAUCGGCCACACUGGAACUGAGACACGGUCCAGACUCCUACGGGAGGCAGCAGUAGGGAAUAUUCCGCAAUGGGCGAAAGCCUGACGGAGCAACGCCGCGUGAGUGAUGAAGGUCUUCGGAUCGUAAAACUCUGUUAUUAGGGAAGAACAUAUGUGUAAGUAAAUGUGCACAUCUUGACGGUACCUAAUCAGAAAGCCCCGGCUAACUACGUG